rnacentral:rRNA from 1 species
UACGUAGGCAGCAAGCGUUGUUCGGAGUUACUGGGCGUAAAGAGUAUGUAGGCGGUUGCGUAAGUUCGGUGUGAAAUCUCCCGGCUUAACUGGGAGGGUGCGCCGAAAACUGCGUGGCUUGAGUGCGGGAGAGGAGAGCGGAAUUCCCGGUGUAGCGGUGAAAUGCGUAGAUAUCAGGAGGAACACCGGCGGUGUAGACGGCUCUCUGGACCGUAACUGACGCUGAGAUACGAAAGCGUGGGUAGCAAACAGG